rnacentral:rRNA from 1 species
UACGUAGGGUGCAAGCGUUGUCCGGAAUUAUUGGGCGUAAAGAGCUCGUAGGCGGUCUGUCGCGUCGGCUGUGAAAACCCGGAGCUCAACUCCGGGCCUGCAGUCGAUACGGGCAGACUGGAGUUCGGCAGGGGAGACUGGAAUUCCUGGUGUAGCGGUGAAAUGCGCAGAUAUCAGGAGGAACACCGGUGGCGAAGGCGGGUCUCUGGGCAAUAACUGACGCUGAGGAGCGAAAGCGUGGGGAGCGAACAGG